UACAGAGGGGGCAAGCGUUGUUCGGAAUUACUGGGCGUAAAGGGCGCGUAGGCGGCCUUCUAAGUCGAACGUGAAAUCCCCGGGCUCAACCCGGGAACUGCGUCCGAUACUGGAAGGCUUGAAUCCGGGAGAGGGAUGCGGAAUUCCAGGUGUAGCGGUGAAAUGCGUAGAUAUCUGGAGGAACACCGGUGGCGAAGGCGGCAGUCCUGGACCGGUAUUGACGCUGAGGCGCGAA
rnacentral:rRNA from 1 species